rnacentral:rRNA from 1 species
GAGUGUCAUUGUAAUCUCACUACGAUCGACUUUUGUCUUUCUGUAUGUGGACUUGGAUGUUGCCGUUGAUAUAAGACGGCUCAUCUGAAAUGCCUCAGUGUACCCCGCUUUGCGGCGUAUUCGGUGUGAUACAUCUUCACCGGAGUUGAUCCUUUCGGGUCACGUCUGUAAUGUGUGGCUCUAUGCUUCCAAUCGUCUCUCUGAUGGGACAAUCUCUGACAAUUUGACCUCAAAUCGGGUGGGACUACCCGCUGAACUUAAGCAUAUCAAUAAGCGGAGGAAAAGAAACUAACAAGGAUUCCCCUAGUAACGGCGAGUGAAGAGGGAAAAGCUCAAAUUUUGAAUCUGGUGUCUUUGGCGCCCGAGUUGUAAUCUAGAGAAGUGUUUUCCGUGUCGGACCGUGCACAAGUUCCCUGGAACGGGGCGUCAUAGAGGGUGAGAAUCCCGUAUAUGGCACGGACUGCCGAUGCUUUUGUGAUACACUCUCAACGAGUCGAGUUGUUUGGGAAUGCAGCUCAAAAUGGGUGGUAAAUUCCAUCUAAAGCUAAAUAUUGGCGAGAGACCGAUAGCGAACAAGUACCGUGAGGGAAAGAUGAAAAGCACUUUGGAAAGAGAGUGAAACAGUACGUGAAAUUGUUGAAAGGGAAGCGUUUGAAGUCAGUCGUAUCUGAUGGGAUUCAGCCGGGCUUUUGCCAGGUGUACUUCCUGUCCGAUGGGUCAGCAUCAAUUUCGAUCGGGGGAAAAAGACGUGAGGAAUGUGGCUGUCUUCGGGCAGUGUUAUAGCCUUGCGUUGUAUGCCUCGGUUGGGAUUGAGGAACGCAGCGCGCCUCCGGGCCAGGGGUUCGCCUCUUGACACGCGCUUAGGAUGCUGGCAUAAUGGCUUUAAGCGACCCGUCUUGAAACACGGAC